AUUGAACGCUGGCGGCAUGCUUUACACAUGCAAGUUGAACGGUAACAGGGUGCUUGCACCGCUGACGAGUGGCGAACGGGUGAGUAAUGCGUCGGAACGUGCCGAGUAGUGGGGGAUAACGCAUCGAAAGGUGUGCUAAUACCGCAUACGUACUGAGGUAGAAAGUGGGGGACCUUCGGGCCUCACGCUAUUCGAGCGGCCGACGUCUGAUUAGCUAGUUGGUGAGGUAAAGGCUCACCAAGGCGACGAUCAGUAGCGGGGCUGAGAGGAGGGUCCGCCACACGGGGGCUGAGCCACGACCAAGACUCCUACGGGAGCCAGCAGUGGGGAAUUUUGGACAAUGGGCGCAAGCCUGAUCCAGCCAUGCCGCGUGUCUGAAGAAGGCCUUCGGGUUGUAAAGGACUUUUGUCCGGGAGCAAAUACCCAGUGCUAAUAACGCUGGGGGCUGAGAGUACCGGAAGAAUAAGCACCGGCUAACUACGUGCCAGCCGCCGCCGUAACAC
rnacentral:rRNA from 1 species